AAAUGUUUUUUAACUGGGUUUUAUCCGAAAAAAAAUAAGACAUCUUUCAGAGCAUUUCGGUAGGGUGCGUAAAAUCGACCGGAAAAGAAGAAGGAACGCAAUAAGUAGGAGGCGUGAGAGAGGAGAGGGUCGUUGAGAGGUCACGCAGUACUACCGACAGUGAUGGCAGCGGUGGCAGCUUUCGCGAAAUUACUCAACUCCCUGGUAUACGUUUAACUCGGCGGCUGUUACGAGAGCAAAAGCAGAAUGCAAAAAGGAAACUCUGGAAGGUGUGUACCGCCUGCUGCUACAUAGAAUCGAUGAUAGGUGGAGCGUGGAAUGGGGCUCUGCAGCUUGAUAAAACAAUAGCGAGCCUCAAUGUUCUAUGAACUUCAACUGAGGAAAUUGUACUCCAAGUAAGAAAAUCAGUCUCCAGCUUAUGAAAAGAUUUCAUAAGAACGACCCAAAUAACGAACUUGACUCCAACACGACGACGUGGGAAGGAGAGAUGAGGGAACAGAGAAGAACGUGCGGCCGGCGAUCCCACCCUCCCUUGAUCUUCGGUGAAAGGUGCUUCUCGCGAAUAUCUCGAGGACGCUCGACCGUUUUAUCACGAGUUCCCUUUCUAUUGAAUCGCGCCGUCGUGCGGUGAGAGGAAAGCUCAUUCAAUCGAUCCGCCUUGCGCGCUUUUACCACCAUUCGACGGAAAUUGGUACGACACCUAGAUGAAGGAUCCAGAGGAACUCUCUUUCUCUCUCUAUCUAUCUAUCUUAUCCGGUAACGUCUCGCUUGGAAUUUGAUUAAAUUCCGAUUGAUGUCACUUUCUAAAUACGCCCCUUGAAUUAGAAUUACGUAACUACGUUUAUUCUCUCGUUCAUUAAAAAGCGAUCAUUCGGGAAUAUUCUAAGUUGAGUAUUGUUCUUUCAUAAUCGUAGAUAAUUUGUGACUUAUUCGUCUCCACAAAUUAGAAUAGUAAUUGCUUAAUUAUUGUAUAAAGAAAAAAAGUUGUAUAAUAAAGAAAAAUAUUGAAUACAUAAUUACUAAAAACAUUUAACGAUUACGUCAAAUUGAUAAUAUUAAACGUUUUAAUCUAAUAUAAAAAUAAAUUAUUACGAGUGAGAUAAAGAAACAAUGAUAUCGAUAUAAAAAAAUAAUGAUUAGUUUGUAUAGAUUAAUUUAAACGGGACGUUGAAAACAACAAAAUUAUUAUGGAAUAUUCGCAAAAAGUUAAUCGGUAAAUGAGAAAGAACUCGCGGUCCUGUGAGAUAUGCGAUGUGAUCGGAAAAGGCAAUAAACGCUGAUAUUGUGCAUCGCGAGUGGUACGAAUGCCCGAUUGUCCGUUGUUUACGAGUCACGAAAGAGAAAGAGAGAGAGAGAGAGAGAGAGAGAGAGAAAGAGAGAGAGAGAGAAAGAGAGAGAGAGAGAAAGAGAGAGAGAAAAAGAGAGAGAGAUUAUACAAAUAGAAAUAGAUAUAGCCUGGUACGCUGAGCGUGUUCAGCGCAACGGCUGCUGUAGUAUAGGUGCAUUAAUAAUGUAGACGUGCAUAUGGUGUGCAGUGAGCGUUUGGUGGCGCGCUGACUAGGAUCAAUGCUCCGCUUGCAAUCUAUACAGUAAAGUGCAAUAUAGGUAACGACAAACCGAACUGGCUCUCUCUCUCUCUCUCUCUCUCUUUCUGUGUAGGAAACAACACCGUUACGCGGCACGCGGCUCGUUUCGAUGGAAGUUAUUCGAAAAUAUUCGGUCUAGGCGUGGCUCUGAACUCACUCGUGAGAAUAAGCACAAGGACGCGAAAGCGUCGAUUACUAUUUAACGUGGUUCUUGUUACUUCACGUACCUUCGAUGAGAAUAUGUUCGUAUGAGAAAGAAAGAGAGAGAGAGAGAGAGAGAGAGAGAGAGAGAGAGAGAGAGAGAGAGAAAGAGAGAGAGUGGGGGAGAGAGAGAGAGAGAGAGAGAGAGAGAGAGAGAGAGAGAGAGAGAGAAUACCUUUCUCGCGAAUAGACUAAAUUCUUUACAAGAUUUUUCAUAAAAUCAUGUAUUUCGUCGACGGCUAAAUAGGACUUUUUAUUUUUAAAUUUUUUGCAUUAUAAACAUUUUUCUAUUUUAGGUCCUGGUUUUUUUGAUUUUCUUUUUCUCGAUUUUGAUGUUUUAAGAAGGAAAACUUAGGUAUUAGUUAAAAUUAUAUGAAUUACCAUUUGAGAUCACGAGCGUGAAGGUGCUUGAGUUUUACAAUUGUGAUAUUUGUCUGGAUCGAUUAAAAUAGAAUAAUCCGUUGAUAUAAUUGGUUGACAGAUUUUGUAAAAAAAGUUUGACCUCGAUUGAAGUUUCUGGUAUGUCAAGUGUUUCUAUGAUAUCACGUUAAGAAUAAUAUAUUUUUUAUAGAAGUGAAAAUUGAUAGAAUACUUGAGAUUUCAGUUCAGUCCAACAGAGGAGUUAAUUUAACGAUUAAUCAUUCUAUAACCCAAUUUUUUUCGCGUCUAAAAAAGAAAUUAUAUUAUGCGAAUAUUACUCUAUUAUUUGUAUUAAUAUAAUUAUAUUAAACUUGGUA